CACGUAGGGCGCAAGCGUUGUCCGGAAUUAUUGGGCGUAAAGAGCUCGUAGGCGGUCUGUCGCGUCGGAUGUGAAAGCCCGGGGCUUAACCCCGGGUCUGCAUUCGAUACGGGCAGACUAGAGUGUGGUAGGGGAGAUCGGAAUUCCUGGUGUAGCGGUGAAAUGCGCAGAUAUCAGGAGGAACACCGGUGGCGAAGGUGGAUCUCUGGGCCAUUACUGACGCUGAGGAGCGAAAGCGUGGGGAGCGAACAGG
rnacentral:rRNA from 1 species